GCUUUACUCAUGUACGUAUAUGCAUCUUCUAAGGAGGAAAAAGGGAAAUAUUGAAAAUUUGUUAUUGCUCCUAGUCCCAGACUUCAUAAUUCGUUGACUAGGAGAAUAUCUAUGACGUUAAUAUUUCAAUUUUUCGCGCGGUUGCGCGAAAGCAGUCGCGUACCAUCCAUCCAAUAAGGGAUCGUCUAGGCGAAGCUCUAACACGGACAAUCACUCUGCUCACGAAAAUUUAUGCGUCAAUAUGUAUUAUUCUGUUUGAAGUAAUUUCGACUACAUAGUAUUUUUCUGGAUAUUCUAUUACUGUUUAUUGUUUAUUAUUACCCUUGUUUAAUAAAUGAUUUCAGAAAUUAUUUCGAAGAUGCAGAGGGCGCCCUGACAAUUAUCAGUCAAUUCGGUGAUUUUGAAUACAGAUUUGCUGACGCCAUGAUUUAUCGUAAUAAAGUUUCUACUUCUAUCAUGGGGCCAAUGAGUCCUUUGUGAUGACAACCUUUGUGUUGCAAGAUCCAAAGAUGUGAGUAUUUUUUAAUAUUGUACUUCAAUUAAUUCUAUUUUAUUAUUAUUAGGAUUUCAAUUUUCAUUAUUAUUAUCACUAAAAUUUAGUUGUCACAAAUUUUCAACUAAAAUUUAAUGUCUGCGCGAUAUUUGUCCCUCGGCUAUUGCAGCACCGAAGGCAACGUUCUUCGUAUCUGAUCGUGAGUCGCAUACAUUUUUGUUCCUCCGAUCAUUCAAUCAUGACGUGCGAUAAAAGGUCCGAAUCAGUACGGAUGAUUGGUUAAAUCAUGUAGAUUUUAUGAUUUUAUGAUGAACAAAAUUUUAAUGAGUAUAGUGAUUGCGAGACUAGAGAAACAGAAAACAUUAUAUAAGCGAUCAUGUACCAUUGCGAAAUGCAAUUCAGUUACAAAUUAAUUAAUUUUUGUGCCAUUUGUGAGACAAACGCGUUUAUUUAUGUAUAUUGUGUUAUGAUUUUCGAUUUUAAUGCAUAUAGUUUCAACGUGUUCAUAAUAUAAAACAGUAAAGUUAAACUGUGGCCAGGUCGAUGGUCGAUAUAGUAGGGAACCGGGAACUGGAAACCGGCUUAGGUAUACAGGGCAGCACAGAUGAUGUAUAGAAGUAUGGCGAUUGGCGAAAUACGUACGAAUCGAAUUGAAACUAGGAAUUAAUAAAUUUUGUUAUAUCUAUAUAACAAAAGAUCUUAAUAGUAUCUCCAUUAUUAAUAAUUUAUCUCUGUGCGUGUUAGUUUUCAUUAUUUUUUAAUCAUUCAUUUUAUUAUAUUAAUAGUAUUGGUAAUAUUUAUCAAUAUUAUAUUAUUGUAAGUUAUUGUGAUUUUUCAUUAUUUAUUAAUAACUUAUUUAAUUUAUUCAUUUCGAAAAUAAGAAAUUCUCAAACUUUAUACAUAUUAUAGCACUCGUCGGUACGGUAGAAAGUAGGUUGGUACUAUAGACGAGUUUGUUGGUACAUCUUCACAAUAGGCACAUCGACACACUGUUUUUCACAAAUUUUAUAAGAGGGCAGUAACAGAGUUCCUGGUUGCUUCUGCCCUCUAUACGGGAGAUCUUUAAAUACUUUUAAUUGAGAGAAACAAAACAGGCGAUAAAACUUAGCAUACAUUUUUUAAAUUCAUCAUUAAUUCCAUUAUUUCAAUUAUUGUAUAAAAUUCAUGUUUCCCAUAAUGGAAAGUGAUAUUCUAACUCCGAACUGCUGGUUCCAAAGAUUCUUCCAUUUCAUCCAUUUCAACAGACAAUUCUCCUCAUUCUAAGCAGACAUCCAAGCAAUUACUUCACUAUUCUUCCAACUACUAUAGUCUAUCACGCAAUUCACAAAAUCUCUCAAGAAAGAAUACUACAAAAAUGCAACAAAUUUGCCCACGGUUAAUCUCCGCGUUUUCAAAACUCUUUAAACUUAGCGAAAAAAGAAAAGAACAUGAAAAGAGAAAGAAAGAACAAGCUAAAUCCUGAACAUGUCCACGAAUCCAGCGGCGUUUAAAAAGAAGCAGGAUAUCUGUCGGUAGGGCCACGCCCGGUCGCCAAUCACAGCCAGUACCGAGCUUCGACGUGGAUCCUUUGUGUCCUCCGGACCCUUUUAAGUCCCUCUUUCUGACUCUCGGGAGCCCAGGGACUCGGUGGCCAUCUCUGGACGUCCAUUAAAUACAGAAAUGAGCCUUCCAAGAGCGCCACGAACGGGUCGAACCAGAUCCUCUGGUCGGGGCCCCGACCAUCGUAGGAAAGAACGAACCGGCAGAAAAUAAGAAAGUGCAAAAGAGAACGGCUAUAGGAUAAAGAAGGAUAGAGCCGGGUCAGACCGGGCCACGUUUAGCUGAGGUCGCCCCGGGCCCCCAGACCAUUAACAAGGAGCGGAGCAAUUUAUGGACCGGCUCGCUCAUUUCCACUUUAUUAUUAUUUUCUCAUCUCAUAGAUGGUCUUCUGCAUCGUUUUGUUCCGUUCGUACCCUCGGCACGCUGUUCCUCUCCACGUCGUAGCGGUCGUUCCCUCUUCUGUUUCCGUUUGGGCCUCUCCUUCUCUCCCGGAAUUAAUACCCACGGCGGAACCGGGAGAGCCGGUGGCGCAACACCCGAGUCGUCGAUGAGCCUCGAAUGGAACUCACGGCCGGGCAAAAAAUUGCGGAACGCGAAAUAUUAUUGCCCGGGACCGCCUCUGCUCUCUCUGCCCCGACCAACCGUCGAUAAUGCCGUAUAGCCAGCCGUUCCUCUCUUUCGCUAAUUCCACCGAGUCUUCCACUCUCUGCCCCCGGAAGUCUACCAUUUUUACCUUUCUUCGACGACCGCGAUAUCGCAAUUAUAACGAAUCAUUCAUUAUAUCCGAUAUAAUACAGAAUUUAAUAAGCAUUAUGAGCUACAUACUUGCUUAAAAAGCAAUAUCCUCUAGUCGUUAACAAUCAACUUGAAACACAUCUUUCUACCACUACUGUAAGGGGGCUAUAUGUGUUAGUCGAUUUGUAACAUUCGUUUGCUCAAUGUCAAUCGUAAUGAUUAAACGUUCGUUGUCCCAACGAUACCCAAGAGUAUGCAACCGAAGGAAAGGAUCAAAGGGGUCAAUUCGGAGUCGGCGUACACGAUCGUCGAACACCGUGGCUGGCGAGGUACAGAGCCAGCUUGGCGACCGUGCACGUCGUUCUAAGUAAGUAACGUUUCUCGGUGAUAUAACCUCGCGUGACGGUGUGCCACCACUCGCUCCGAUAAAUCCUCGGUGCGCGAGUUAAUUUUAAACGGUCACGACUUCCAGCGGCGAUGACAACGCGGUGUACGUCAACCUUUCCCUACCGAUAGUCUGCCGUCAGCAUCACCCGCGGCUCGUUCAACCUCUAUCGGCUACAAACUCGAAGAUGAGCUCUCCAUUUUACGACUGGGGGCCACGGUGAAUGCGCGGACGCACGGUUGCUGAACGAAAUAGGCGGCUUUCGUUGCCUCUUCACCGGGAUGGAGGUGGACCGAGUCUCGCAAAGGCUCCGAUCUCCUUUACCCUUAUUUCUGCUUCUUUUUUUUUUGUGUUAUUUGUUCAGUCCCUCGCGGCCAGUCGAGCCUUCGUUUUCGCUGUUUUCUAUAGCUGGCUCGCCCAUUGGCGCAAGGGUAGUUGUUAUGAAAUUAGCAUGAGCGAUCGGGCCGAGGCUACGUAGGUAAUCGCUUGCAAGGCUCCACGUUGGGAUUGGAUAAGCCGGUUGGAACCGGAUGCUUUGCCCUGUGCCGCCAAUCGUGAGCUCGAGACGGUACCAUCGCCACGUCCCAUUGGGCUGCAACGAUUUACGAGCCUUUUGCCCCCAACGUCUUUGCACCGUCGAUGAAGAAGAUCUUCCACUCUUUCCACGCACCCCCGUGUGUUCCGUUUCGGCUUCUUCUUCAUUCCACGUACGCCGUUGCAAUUAAGAGUUCCGAUGUCUCAAUGGAAGCUGCGUGCCAAGAUUACACCGCGGACCCGAGCUAUGCAUCUCUGAACGACCAGCUCGUUCGGUUAACUAAUUGCGUUCAUUAGGCGAUGUCACUUAUUGAGGGAUUCUUUCGAUCGGGGCUGGAUUGUAUCGUGCCAGGCGAGAAUUUUCGAGACUUUGACUGACAUACCCGAUAUCCGUGUGUUAUGGUUCUUAGAUUAAGGAUAUUACAAUAGACGCGUGUUCUGCUGAACUAUGGUUUCGACGAAUAAACCGAAACGAUAAAAUACGAAGAUUACGGAGGAAAAAUACGAUGAGUCAUAUUUCCUAUUUUUCUUUACAGAGAAGCAGCUUUUAAAUUUCGUUCGUUUUCAAUGUUAUGUCGUCGUGUUUCUUCGAAAUUUUUAAAACAUUGUUUGUCAUAAAAUUAAGAUAUCAGAGACGUUAAAACGUUCCUUAUGUUAAUAAGUAUGCUUUUGACUUCUGCAAAAUUUCGUCAACUUCUCAGCUAUUUUUAAUCCUUGUUUAAUUUUUAAGCUACAUCUUUAGGCCAGAACAGACUUACAUUUUUGAUAAAUUCAUAAAGCCAGUUCAUUGGAACACGCAUCCAUUGUAACCACAGCCUUAGAAGCGAAUGUUAAUCAUUUAAGAAGCCUGAUGCGUAUUAAUGCGAUAUCUGGCCUGUUUUUAAUUAACCCUCUGCCUCGAUGUUAAGGGCGGGGAAAGUAUUUCGAUUCGGACAGAAUUCCUCGAAGUACGUCGCAUAUAUUUGCAUACAGAAAGAUUCAAUUACGAACACAGAAACGCUGCAUCUGUUAAUUUUUUUCCCAACUGGUGGCAAUUUUAUUGAGACGUGUAUUUAUGCCUCCUAUAAUUAAAGCAACGAUGGGCGACCGUGUAUUCUUCCUUAUAAAUUACGUAACACGUUCAUUUGUUACUCGUUUCUUAUUCCAUGUCGUACCACCUAUGCUAUAUAUUACUUCGCUGUAUUGUAUUAAUUGAUAAACCAGUUAGGUUAACCUGCCAACCCUAUAUACAUUCUAUCGUACACCAUCCAUAUUGGUUCUUCGUAGAAAGGAAAUAGGAAACUUUCUUGAAGCUACACAUCGUACUUUCUUUAUAAAAUAGCCCACAACUCGAGAAACGUAUUUUUCCAACACAAAGUAUUUCUCUAACAUUCUCGUUCAAAAGAUUUUUCUCCCCGAUAAAUUCUACACACCAAAUGGUAUGACAUUUAAACACAAAUACGUUUCUUAAUCGUGUCCGUUUCGGAGCAACACAUUUACUAGGAAUCCGAUUUUCAUCACCUACGAUGUUGUAUGUUAACAAAUAAGUUUCAUACGGCACCUAUCUGUUUCUAUCUUAUAAAACUUCGCAUAUGCAGAGCAUAGGGGAAAACGUAAGUGUGAUCCUUCUUGUCUUCCAAAAUGUUAAGUCAAAUACAAUAAUCUAAACCAAAUAACUUGCAACUUGUAAAGUUUGUUUCCGCUUUAUAAGUCUGUCAUCAUUGUGCAAGGGGAAUGUAAUACUGAAAGCUCGUAUCUUGCGACUCGUCAAAUUUCACUAACGACAUUACUUAGAUCGCGCAAGAGGUUCCAGCUAGUCAUGAUCUUUCUACUUACAGAAAUGCCGAGCUUUCUCAAAUAAAGCGACACGUUUAUCAAUCCCCCGGCAAUUAAAAGGCAAAAUCACGAAGGAACGUUGCUCUCGCCCCUUUCGAAUUCCCAUCGUUCGUAUUUAAUUACAUACAUAUCAAUAAUUAGAGGGCAGGGAUGGCGAGCGCGCGACGCUCGAUAUCGGUCCCGUGCAUCGGCCCUCAUCGUCCGAUAUUAUCGUCCAACGAAACUAAUUACACGCGCCGUGGCCCGCAAUUAAUACGCGUCGCGGGCCUCGCGGAUCCUCCCGUCGGAAUUGAGUCGUCGGCCCUGAACGGAUUCGUUCCAGCGCUCUCGUUUCGAACGAGAGCCGAGAUCGGUUCGUCCGGCGUUGCAGGCCUGUAUUCGACCCUUUUUUUGCGCGGUCCCCGGUGAAAUUUCGUGGCGUGGUCCAUGAAUGGAAUCCAGGGGCCGAACAACAGUAGCUCGAGCUGCUGGAGCGACAGAGAAAGUCGUUUGACGUUUGACAUGACUCGAACUGACAGCCGCCUUGUGUAAGACAGGAAUCGUGCAUCGUGAAACUGACACUCCCGGGGUCCGUGGCGCGCCCGUCAGGGGACCAAGAUGCGAUUUUGGGACCGUCGGGGAUGAUGGAUUCCCGUCACGCGUACCAUCCUCUCGCGGCCACAGUGGAAAGCUUCUGCUAGGCGCUGUUGGUUCUUCUUCUUGUGUUUGGUCAACGAUGGAACUCAUCAAACUCGUCAAAGUGGUGCAUUUUACAUUUUCUCUUUUACUAUUAGUAAAAACGUGAGAGCAUUUUUGAUAAAAUGAAUGACAAUGCUUACUUAGGAACAGUUAUAAUUAUAUAUAGAGUGGUUGCAGAGAGUAUUUUAUAUUAAGUAUUACGUUAUAUUGUAUUACGUUAUAUUGUAUUACGUUAUAUUGUAUUACGUUAUG